AACGAACGCUGGCGGCAGGCUUAACACAUGCAAGUCGAACGGGCCCUUCGGGGUCAGUGGCAGACGGGUGAGUAACGCGUGGGAACGUGCCCUUCAGUUUGGGAUAACCCAGGGAAACUUGGGCUAAUACCGGAUACGUGCGAGAGCAGAAAGAUUUAUCGCUGAAGGAUCGGCCCGCGUCUGAUUAGCUGGUUGGUAGGGUAAUGGCCUACCAAGGCGACGAUCAGUAGCUGGUCUGAGAGGAUGACCAGCACAUUGGGACUGAGACACGGCCCAAACUCCUACGGGAGGCAGCAGUGGGGAAUAUUGGACAAUGGGCGCAAGCCUGAUCCAGCCAUGCCGCGUGAGUGAUGAAGGCCUUAGGGUUGUAAAGCUCUUUCAGUGGGGACGAUAAUGACGGUACCCGCAGAAGAAGCCCCGGCUAACUUCGUGCCAGCCGCCGCGGUAA
rnacentral:rRNA from 1 species